CCCUUAGAUGUUCUGGGCCGCACGCGCGCUACACUGACGAAUGCAACGAGCUUAUAACCUUGGCCGAAAGGUCUGGGUAAUCUCCAAAUUUCGUCGUGAUGGGGAUAGAUUAUUGCAACUAUUAAUCUUCAACGAGGAAUGCCUAGUAAGCGCAAGUCAUCAGCUUGCGUUGAUUACGUCCCUGCCCUUUGUACACACCGCCCGUCGCUCCUACCGAUUGAAUGGUCCGGUGAAGCGCUCGGACCGCGGCCUCUUGACGGUUUUCCGUCGAUUGGCUGUGGGAAGUUCGUUAAACCUUAUCAUUUAGAGGAAGGAGAAGUCGUAACA
rnacentral:rRNA from 1 species